CCUACGGGUGGCUGCAGUGGGGAAUAUUGCACAAUGGGCGCAAGCCUGAUGCAGCCAUGCCGCGUGUGUGAAGAAGGCCUUCGGGUUGUAAAGCACUUUCAGCGGGGAGGAAGGCGGUGAGGUUAAUAACCUCAUCGAUUGACGUUACCCGCAGAAGAAGCACCGGCUAACUCCGUGCCAGCAGCCGCGGUAAUACGGAGGGUGCAAGCGUUAAUCGGAAUUACUGGGCGUAAAGCGCACGCAGGCGGGCUGUCAAGUCGGAUGUGAAAUCCCCGGGCUCAACCUGGGAACUGCAUUCGAAACUGGCAGGCUAGAGUCUUGUAGAGGGGGGUGGAAUUCCAGGUGUAGCGGUGAAAUGCGUAGAGAUCUGGAGGAAUACCGGUGGCGAAGGCGGCCCCCUGGACAAAGACUGACGCUCAGGUGCGAAAGCGUGGGGAGCAAACAGGAUUAGAUACCCUAGUAGUC
rnacentral:rRNA from 1 species